rnacentral:pre_miRNA from 1 species
AGGAGGAACAACCCCAGUGGCGGGGCCAGCUCUGGAGCCCUGGAGUCAGCCCCCGCAGUAGCUCCAGAGCUCUCCGUCUGCAGGGCCUGGAGGCUCCGGGCCGGG